CCUACGGGAGGCUGCAGUAGGGAAUAUUGCUCAAUGGGGGAAACCCUGAAGCAGCAACGCCGCGUGGAGGAUGAAGGUUUUCGGAUUGUAAACUCCUUUUGUUAGAGAAGAUAAUGACGGUAUCUAACGAAUAAGCACCGGCUAACUCCGUGCCAGCAGCCGCGGUAAUACGGAGGGUGCAAGCGUUACUCGGAAUCACUGGGCGUAAGGAGCGCGUAGGCGGGAUAGCAAGUCAGAUGUGAAAUCCUAUGGCUUAACCAUAGAACUGCAUUUGAAACUGUUAUUCUAGAGUAUGGGAGAGGUAGGUUGAAUUCUUGGUGUAGGGGUAAAAUCCGUAGAGAUCAAGAGGAAUACUCAUUGCGAAGGCGACCUGCUAGAACAUAACUGACGCUGAUGCGCGAAAGCGUGGGGAGCAAACAGGAUUAGAUACCCCAGUAGUC
rnacentral:rRNA from 1 species